rnacentral:rRNA from 1 species
GACGAACGCUGGCGGCGUGCUUAACACAUGCAAGUCGAACGGAAAAGCCCCAGCUUGCUGGGGUGCUUCAGUGGCGAACGGGUGAGUAACACGUGAGUAACCUGCCCUUGACUCUGGGAUAAGCUCAGGAAACUGGGUCUAAUACCGGAUAGGAGCACCUCCCGCAUGGUCACUUUCGGGAAGUUUCGUCGGUUGGGGAUGGACUCGCGGCUUAUCAGCUUGUUGGUGGGGUAGUGGCUUACCAAGGCGUCGACGGGUAGCCGGCCUGAGAGGGCGACCGGCCACACUGGGACUGAGACACGGCCCAGACUCCUACGGGAGGCAGCAGUGGGGAAUAUUGCACAAUGGGCGAAAGCCUGAUGCAGCGACGCCGCGUGAGGGAUGACGGCCUUCGGGUUGUAAACCGCUUUCGGCAGGGAAGAAGCGAGAGUGACGGUACCGGCAGAAGAAGCACCGGCUAACUACGUG